AUACCAGUGACUGCCCAGCUCUCUCACGCUUUUAUAUUUUCUCUGCAGCACUGGGAGCCGCCUUGGUGGAGGUACUCCUGUUUCAAUGGCUGUGGCUGGAGGCUGUGGGCUGUGGAUGUCUCCUGCUGUCUUAGAGUCCUGCUCUUGGGCCUGCUGACAGUCAGCUGUUGAAGGUGUGUCUAACUGAGGGAUUGGGAAACAGCAGCAGCAGCAGCAGCAGCAGCAGCCUUGGGACCAGUGAGAGCUUUGGUUUGAACGACAGUCCCUUCCUCCUAAUGACUGAACCUUCGCCGCCUCAGAUGGGCCCACAAGUCAGAAGAUGGUCACUGAGGUCCGGACAUGUGACGGAGGAGGAGAGGGAGCCGUGAGUGCAGGACGGGAGCUGGAUGGUCAGGACUCUGUGGUGCCAGAGGUACACCUGACGACUCCAGCGACAGCCCAGCAGGGGACGGUGACGGCGUCGGAUCUCACACCUACCUGGAGUAAAAAAGUAGAUUCAGGACUUCAGGUAGACAACAGGGCAACGUUACCAGCAGAAACGAGGUGGUGGAUGAGGGAUAAAGAGGCGCAAAGAUGAUUCAGUUCAGGAUGCUUUAUGUUGUUUUGAGCAUGAGAUCUUAUAUUACAAAGGCUGAUGUUUAGCAAAAUUAUCUGGAGAUUGUUUGGCAACACAUUUAAAAAGUUUUAAACUUAAAAAAAAAAAAAAAAAUUAGUAAUAGAAAUUUCUACUUACAAAGUGCAUUUGCUGAGAUCAGGUGACAUGGAGGCAAUAAUAAAAGUUUAUUCAACUCUCCAA